rnacentral:lncRNA from 8 species
AUGUUAUAUCCGAUAGAAUUGAUGAUAUUAUUAGUGGCUAUUUACUCUCUUGAAGCCGCUAUUGACGAUUUUGAAAAGGAUAUGGGCUCGGAGAAUCUUGGGAAAGAGAAGGUGAACGUGUUGGAGCACCUGUCCCAGCUGGCCGUCAACACCACUAAUGUAUCCUUAUCUGUGGGGACCCAUAGGUGUCCGACUCUUCACAUUGGCCUGUACGCCACACUGGCAAUGCCCACACACCAGGCAUUUGGACCAAGGUUUGUAGAUGAGUUCAGUGUGCUGAUGGAGCUGCGUAGUGUUCAGCAGGAGGAGAGUAGCCUGGUCACCGUGCUCAGUCCCUACAGCCACAUCCAGCUGCAGCUCCGUCUCAGCCCACACACGGUCACCUUCGUCUCCACUCACCACAGACAUUACGAGUUCCCAGUAGGUAUGCUGCCUGACGGCCAGUGGCACCAGGUCUCUGUAGGUGUGUCCUCCAGCUGGCUGGCCCUCUAUGUGGACUGUGAGCUGGUGGAGAGGGUGAAUUGGACCUACCCUGGACAGGACAUUACCACUGAUGGUCUGCUGAUGCUGGGGGGCAUCAUAGAGGGCUUUGAGACUCCAUUUGAGGGUGCUCUGAGACAGAUGACCUUUUUGAUGGGUGACCCCGACGCAGCCAGACACCACUGUAACCUCCACCUCCCUAUGUGUGACGGACCGGCCCCCAAAGCUCCACGCUCCCCAAGAACACCCCACACACACCAGGUACUAACUAACUACAGAACUUUGCAGUCCUCUCUGAAAUAUCAAGAUAUUUUAUUAU